rnacentral:rRNA from 1 species
AAUGACGAAUGAUAUGACUGAGUGGCGGACGGGUGAGUAACGCGUGAGCAACCUGCCCUUCGGAACGGGAUAGUGUCUGGAAACGGACAGUAAUACCGUAUAACAUAUAUUGAUCGCAUGGUCGAUAUAUCAAAACUGAGGUGCCGAAGGAUGGGCUCGCGUCUGAUUAGAUAGUUGGUGGGGUAACGGCCUACCAAGUCGACGAUCAGUAGCCGGACUGAGAGGUUGAACGGCCACAUUGGGACUGAGACACGGCCCAGACUCC